GCUUUCCUUCACCAAGGAGUCUCUCUGUUGGUAAGCACAAUGGCUCAACCUGUGAGUCUCGCGCUGGCUGUUGGUCUUUUGUGUGCUGGGAUAUUUCACAUCUCAGGCAUCCCUGUAUUUCCCAAUACCAGGGAAAAUACAGUUUUCUGCAAAUAUACUGUUCAAAUGGAGCUGGAGAACAUUGUCUAUAACAGUUCUCUCCUGGAUCCUUCUUCAGACUACUAUAAGGAUGUAGCGUCAAAGGUUAUGGAUGUGAUGAAUCAAGUAUAUGCCUGCCCAGAUUGUCCUACCAAGUCCUUCUAUGAAGCUAAAAAUCCUACAUUUGAAUCAGAGCCUGGCACAUGGUCAUUUGUUCCCAUGACCUUCUACACUGAAGAGAUCAAUAGUGACGUGAUCCUUUAUCUCUUCUAUCAUGCCCAUCCUGUUACAUCCCUUAAGAUCUCGUACUUUGUAGUGGAAAGAGAUCCAGGAAAUUGUAUUGCAGUUGCUUAAUAUGAAUGAAAAAGAGUAAUUUAAGUUCCUGCAAAACCUGCUUUUACAUUAAAAAACUGUUUAAAGACAUGGCAUGUGAUUGAUCAAAACCACAUUUAAAACACAGGUAUGUCAUAUCUCACCUAAUGAUAAUAAAUGAAUAUGAAGACCUUA